UAAAAAGGAUAAAGAGAAUGGUCUUUAUUCGCUAUAGGAUAGGAUCGUGUUCGAUUAUGGUAGUUGGUGAGGUAAAGGCUCACCAAGCCGAUAAUCGAUAGGGGCCGUGAGAGCGGGAGCCCCGAGAUGGGUACUGAGACAACGACCCAGGCCUUACGAGGCGCAGCAGGCGCGAAACCUCCACAAUACACGAAAGUGUGAUGGGGUUACCCAAAGUGUUCAUUAUUGAACUGUGGUAGGUGAGUAAUGUUCCCUACUAGAAAGGAGAGGGCAAGGCUGGUGCCAGCCGCCGCGGUAAAACCAGCUCUUCAAGUGGUCGGGAUAAUUAUUGGGCUUAAAGUGUCCGUAGCCGGUUUAGUAAGUUCCUGGUAAAAUCGGGUAGCUUAACUAUCUAUAUGCUAGGAAUACUGCUAUACUAGA
rnacentral:rRNA from 1 species